UCCGUAGGUGAACCUGCGGAUUCCGUAGCGGGCCUGCGGAGGGAUCAUUACUGAGUUUACGCUCUAUAACCCUUUGUGAACAUACCUAUAACUGUUGCUUCGGCGGGUAGGGUCUCCGCGACCCUCCCGGCCUCCCGCCUCCGGGCGGGUCGGCGCCCGCCGGAGGAUAACCAAACUCUGAUUUAACGACGUUUCUUCUGAGUGGUACAAGCAAAUAAUCAAAACUUUUAACAACGGAUCUCUUGGUUCUGGCAUCGAUGAAGAACGCAGCGAAAUGCGAUAAGUAAUGUGAAUUGCAGAAUUCAGUGAAUCAUCGAAUCUUUGAACGCACAUUGCGCCCGCCAGCAUUCUGGCGGGCAUGCCUGUUCGAGCGUCAUUUCAACCCUCAAGCUCUGCUUGGUGUUGGGGCCCUACAGCUGAUGUAGGCCCUCAAAGGUAGUGGCGGACCCUCCCGGAGCCUCCUUUGCGUAGUAACUUUACGUCUCGCACUGGGAUCCGGAGGGACUCUUGCCGUAAAACCCCCCAAUUUUCCAAAGGUUGACCUCGGAUCAGGUAGGAAUACCCGCUGAACUUAAGCAUAUCAAUAAGCGGAGGA
rnacentral:rRNA from 1 species